UCGUGCAUCACUCUCCUCUCUCUAACACUUUUCUAUCUCUUUCUAUAUUCAUACACAAGCACACAUUAUUAUCAUCUAAAUAAAAGGCUUUGAUUUGGAGAGUUUAAGGUGGAUUUUGAAGGAGAGGAAGAAGGGAGGUUGGAGAGUUUGGCAUGAGCUUCAAAUUGAGGCUAAUAUUGCUAGGGUUUGGAGAAUUUUGAAAUUUGGGGCUUUUCUUCCAUUUGAGGACACGGAAAAGAAAUAGCGGACGACAAUCCACCCUUGCCUUAGCUUGGAGUAGAAAAAUGUUUCUUUUUGCUAUCUUUUGUAAUUGGGCCAAAUUUUGUAAAAGUGAUGACUUAAAAUGUAUUAUUUUGUAGCAUGUGAUGUAUUUAGGUCCAUUUUGUGUAUGGCCAUUGGGGAAAUGUAAUUAUGUUUUAAUCACACUAAAUCCUUUAGUG